AUUCACACUACUCUGGCUACCAAGUAAUCUCUGCUCUGACCACUGAGCUGAGCCUAAUGAGUCAAAUGUUUAUGUAUUGUUGUUCUUGAGCGUUAUAAGAAUUUAAUAUGAGUUUUGAAGAGUUUUCAUUAAAGAAGUAUGGAGUUUGAGUAUGUUUGUUUGUAUGUUGAGUGUGGAGUAGUUUUGCAACUUUUUUGUACCUAUUGUUGUCGAAGGGCAGCCCUGAGAGUCACCUUUUUCAGUAGCUUCUCCUAAUAUUUUGAUUUCCAAAUUUUUAUGGUAAAUACUUUAGUGUGUCAGCCAACUACCCACCAAAUUUCUGAAGUGAAACUGGUUAAGUUUUUAAUUUGAGAAAAUGCAUAAUGAUGUUUGUAUGUGAUAUGUAUAUGUGUUUCUACGUGCCUUAUGUGUCUAUGUAUGUCUAUGUGCUUGAUUGUUAUUAGUCUAGCCCUACUUGAGUGACAAGUCGAGAGUAGGAUUUGUGAUUUCUUAGGAUAUAUGUAUAUAUUGAGGAGAUUGAGAUAGUUGGAGUAUAUAGAAGAUGAGUGAUGGGAUAGCAUUAAGAUAGGAAUGAUAUACAUAGUAAGGGAGUUCCUGACUAGUUUUAUUUAUCUUAUCUCAUGAACCACUCCGACGUUGUGACAUCUGAAGAUACGAGCAGAGGACGGAAGUAAGAUCGCCCAAGUACGACGAGAGUAAGCUAAGUUUGUCAGGAUAAGCGAGGAGGAGGAAGAUCGGUCUGGUGCUGGCGGGGACUUAUUUUGGAUGACGUUGUUUCUUUUACCGUAUUUCUAUUUCAUACGGUAGCCUUUUAAGGUUGGAUGUUUAUAUUUUGAACUUAAUCAGGAAAUACACUCUCGGCUAUAUGUCUUCAUACAUAUAGUCUGAUCACGUUUUGCUGCGAGACUCUAUAAAUUAUAAACCUUUGUAAAUUUUUAACUAUGUCCGCUUUGUAAA